rnacentral:lncRNA from 1 species
CGACAAUUUGUUAUUUGUUGAAAAUUGCAGUAAAAUACCAUAGCUCCACAAUACCUAAAAGCAGAUAAAAGAAACAAACUGCAGAACAACACAGAAAACAACAUAACUCAAAAAUCCGCCAACAAAGAAAACCCAAACCUACAAAAUCCACUUAUGGAAAUCUAUUUUAAUAGAGAUUUAUUUCUACAAUGUUAUAUACUGAAAACUCUGAAAACUGAAAUUUGUAAUUUUGAAAAUAAACACUAAAUGAAAUAUAGAAAUAUAAAUAUCAGCUCACAUAGAAUGGAAUCCCAAGAAAUUAGCAUUACAAAUCUGGCCAGGCAUACUUGAUAAAUACAUAUGAAGGAGAAAAAAGUUGCCAUCCAUCAAUGGCAACUAACAUUGGCUACUGCAGACUCCUAACGGAACAUGCAGAGAAGAAAUGAAUGAUUAUGUCUUGCAAACUAAGUCUCUAAAUCUUCGGUCACGUGCAGAACAUUGAAAACUUCAUCAAAAACAACAUUAGGAAUCAAACAAAAACUAUUACCAACAUUAAGUGGACUAUUCAGAUUGUGUCAAAAGGACAUAAGAGGGCACUUGUUUGUAUUGUUUUUUCUUUUUGUAAAAAAGGAAGGGCAGAUAAUGGGUUAACAAUAUUUGUCAGAGUAAGAG